UAGGGAAUCUUCGGCAAUGGACGAAAGUCUGACCGAGCAACGCCGCGUGAGUGAAGAAGGUUUUCGGAUCGUAAAACUCUGUUGUUAGAGAAGAACAAGGACGUUAGUAACUGAACGUCCCCUGACGGUAUCUAACCAGAAAGCCACGGCUAACUACGUGCCAGCAGCCGCGGUAAUACGUAGGUGGCAAGCGUUGUCCGGAUUUAUUGGGCGUAAAGCGAGCGCAGGCGGUUUCUUAAGUCUGAUGUGAAAGCCCCCGGCUCAACCGGGGAGGGUCAUUGGAAACUGGGAGACUUGAGUGCAGAAAGGGAGAGUGGAAUUCCAUGUGUAGCGGUGAAAUGCGUAGAUAUAUGGAGGAACACCAGUGGCGAAGGCGGCUCUCUGGUCUGUAACGGACGCUGAGGCUCGAAAGCGUGGGGAGCAAACAGG
rnacentral:rRNA from 1 species